GGAUACAUUAGAAGGUUAUUUGAAUAUUUUUGGCUGGUAUGAGUAGUACUUUGAACCUUGUUAUAUUAUACAUUUUUUAAACUACAAUCUUUUUUAUUUUGAAUGCUUUCAUGAUCAUCUAUAUUUUACCAAGAUCCAAGUUGUCACUGGCAGAUCAUUUAAUAUAAUGAACACAGCGCAUGUGAUUAAUUUGAAGAAUUUAAAGUUGGCAAACAUUUUCUCUCAAUGGAUAUUAGCAUUGAACUCGAUCUUAUUGGGCCAAGACAAGCGUGGGCCCAGCAGGACUCAUAGAGACAGAAUGCACUGGUGGUCAUUUUUUUCCUCUGAGAGUUUUCUUCUUUCCAUGGAAACUACUUAUUUUCCAAGGGAGUUCAAGGUCUUGGGGGAACAGACUAUUGCUCUGGGUACCAAGAAACCCAGCAAUCUACCGAGUAGUCACUGAACAAGCCAUGCAUUUCCCAGAGAGCAAAGGAGUCAUAUUUGCUGAAAUGAUCAAGGGAUUAGAAAGAUCUUUGAACAUGCUAAAAUUUGAGAUCAUCACUUUAAGCUAAUUAAUAGCAAGAAGAACAAAAACACUAAAAAGGAAAGUAUUUUGGAGUUUUUA
rnacentral:lncRNA from 1 species